UCCCUGGUGGUCCAGUGGUUAAGACUCAGUGCUUUCACUGCUGAGGGCCUGGGUUCAAUUCCUGGUCAGGGAA
rnacentral:tRNA from 2 species